GUGGGGAAUUUUGGACAAUGGGCGCAAGCCUGAUCCAGCAAUGCCGCGUGCAGGAAGAAGGCCUUCGGGUUGUAAACUGCUUUUGUACGGAACGAAACGGCUCUGGUUAAUACCCGGGGCUAAUGACGGUACCGUAAGAAUAAGCACCGGCUAACUACGUGCCAGCAGCCGCGGUAAUACGUAGGGUGCAAGCGUUAAUCGGAAUUACUGGGCGUAAAGCGUGCGCAGGCGGUUUUGUAAGACAGGCGUGAAAUCCCCGGGCUCAACCUGGGAAUGGCGGUUGGGACUGCAAAGCUGGAGUGCGGCAGAGGGGGAUGGAAUUCCGCGUGUAGCAGUGAAAUGCGUAGAUAUGCGGAGGAACACCGAUGGCGAAGGCAAUCCCCUGGGCCUGCACUGACGCUCAUGCACGAAAGCGUGGGGAGCAAACAGGAUUAGAAACCCCAGUAGUCC
rnacentral:rRNA from 1 species